rnacentral:rRNA from 1 species
CGCAAGACUGACCAGCGAUACCGCAUGCAGGAUGACGGCCCUAUGGAUUGUAAACUGCAUUUUGCACAGGAAGAAACGCCCCUACGUGUAGAGACUUGACGGUACUGUAAGAAUAAGGAUCGGCUAACUCCGUGCCAGCAGCCGCGGUAAUACGGAGGAUCCAAGCGUUAUCCGGAAUCAUUGGGUUUAAAGGGUCCGUAGGCGGUUUUAUAAGUCAGUGGUGAAAUCUCCCCGCUCAACGGGGAAACGGCCAUUGAUACUGUAGGACUUGAAUUAUUAGGAAGUAACUGGAAUAUGUAGUGUAGCGGUGAAAUGCUUAGAGAUUACAUGGAAUACCAAUUGCGAAGGCAGGUUACUACUAAUGGAUUGACGCUGAUGGACGAAAGCGUGGGUAGCGAACAGGAUUAGAUACCCUGGUAGUCCACGCCGUAAACGAUGGAUACUAGCUGUUGGGAGCAAUCUCAGUGGCUAAGCGAAAGUGAUAAGUAUCCCACCUGGGGAGUACGUUCGCAAGAAUGAAACUCAAAUGAAUUGACGG